GCACAAGCAGUGGAGCAUGUGGUUUAAUUCGAUGCAACGCGAAGAACCUUACCUGGGCUUGAACUGCAGGCGUAGUCGCUUGAAAGAGCGGCGAACUCCUUCGGGAAGACCUGUAGAGGUGCUGCAUGGCUGUCGUCAGCUCGUGUCGUGAGAUGUCCGGUUAAGUCCGGUAACGAGCGCAACCCUCGCUGUGUGUUAUAUGUGUCACACGGGACUGCCGGUAUCAAGCCGGAGGAAGGUGGGAUGACGUCAAGUCAGCAUGGCCUUUAUGUCUGGGGCUACACACACGCUACAAUGGCCAGUACAAUAGGUUGCAAGACCGCGAGGUGGAGCCAAUCCUUAAAGCUGGUCUCAGUUCGGAUUGCAGGCUGCAACUCGCCUGCAUGAAGUCGGAGUUGCUAGUAACCGCGCGUCAGCCAUAGUGCGGUGAAUACGUUCCCGGGCCUU
rnacentral:rRNA from 1 species